rnacentral:snoRNA from 1 species
GACCUUCUUUCUUGGCGCUCCUACCGAAUCUAGGGUAGAAGUGUAUGUAAUAGAAGGUAAAUCAUGCCCUAUUCUGGGUGUUCGGGUCUCCUUCGGUGCCGUUCUCGCUUGAAAUGUCGAACGGUGUCAUCCUCUGGGCUCGAGACAAUU